rnacentral:rRNA from 1 species
CAUGCAUGUCUCAGUACAAGCCGCUUUAAGGUGAAACCGCGAAAGGCUCAUUAAAUCAGUUAUGGUUCCUUAGAUCGUACCCACAUUUACUUGGAUAACUGUGGUAAUUCUAGAGCUAAUACAUGCAAACAGAACUCCGACCGGAGACGGAAGGAGCGCUUUUAUUAGAUCAAAACCAAUCGGCGGCGGUCGCGCGUUCGCGCGCGCGUUCCGUUCGCCGUACUUCUUGGUGACUCUGAAUAACUUCUCGCUGAUCGCACGGUCUCGCACCGGCGACGCAUCUUUCAAAUGUCUGCCUUAUCAACUGUCGAUGGUAGGUUCUGCGCCUACCAUGGUUGUAACGGGUAACGGGGAAUCAGGGUUCGAUUCCGGAGAGGGAGCCUGAGAAACGGCUACCACAUCCAAGGAAGGCAGCAGGCGCGCAAAUUACCCACUCCCGGCACGGGGAGGUAGUGACGAAAAAUAACGAUACGGGACUCAUCCGAGGCCCCGUAAUCGGAAUGAGUACACUUUAAAUCCUUUAACGAGGAUCAAUUGGAGGGCAAGUCUGGUGCCAGCAGCCGCGGUAAUUCCAGCUCCAAUAGCGUAUAUUAAAGUUGUUGCGGUUAAAAAGCUCGUAGUUGAAUCUGUGUCUCGCGCCGCCGGUUCAUCGCUCGCGGUGUCAACUGGCGUGUCCGCGGGACGUCCUGCCGGUGGGCGUCGGCGGCCCGUCAAACGGCCGCGGCCCAACUUGAAAUCCCGCCGCGGUGCUCUUCGCUGAGUGUCGAGGUGGGCCGGCACGUUUACUUUGAACAAAUUAGAGUGCUUAAAGCAGGCUAAAACUUCGCCUGAAUACUGUGUGCAUGGAAUAAUGGAAUAGGACCUCGGUUCUAUUUUGUUGGUUUUCGGAACCCCGAGGUAAUGAUUAAUAGGGACAGAUGGGGGCAUUCGUAUUGCGACGUUAGAGGUGAAAUUCUUGGAUCGUCGCAAGACGGACAGAAGCGAAAGCAUUUGCCAAAAAUGUUUUCAUUAAUCAAGAACGAAAGUCAGAGGUUCGAAGGCGAUCAGAUACCGCCCUAGUUCUGACCAUAAACGAUGCCAGCUAGCGAUCCGCCGACGUUCCUCCGAUGACUCGGCGGGCAGCUUCCGGGAAACCAAAGCUUUUGGGUUCCGGGGGAAGUAUGGUUGCAAAGCUGAAACUUAAAGGAAUUGACGGAAGGGCACCACCAGGAGUGGAGCCUGCGGCUUAAUUUGACUCAACACGGGAAACCUCACCAGGCCCGGACACCGGAAGGAUUGACAGAUUGAGAGCUCUUUCUUGAUUCGGUGGGUGGUGGUGCAUGGCCGUUCUUAGUUGGUGGAGCGAUUUGUCUGGUUAAUUCCGAUAACGAACGAGACUCUAGCCUGYUAACUAGGCGUAUUUCCGGCAUCCUGAAGGCCCGACGGUCCCGCGUACCGGGUCGCGCGCGUCGUUCGUACGGCCGUUCCUCUCGGGGUUCGGUACGGCGGUCGGCGCGUCGUCGGUUCGGCUGCGCGCUCCGCUCGCGGUUUUUACUGCCGGCGUACAAACAAUUCUUCUUAGAGGGACAGGCGGCUUCUAGCCGCACGAGAUUGAGCAAUAACAGGUCUGUGAUGCCCUUAGAUGUUCUGGGCCGCACGCGCGCUACACUGAAGGAAUCAGCGUGUCCUCCCUGGCCGAGCGGCCCGGGUAACCCGCUGAACCUCCUUCGUGCUAGGGAUUGGGGCUUGCAAUUGUUCCCCAUGAACGAGGAAUUCCCAGUAAGCGCGAGUCAUAAGCUCGCGUUGAUUACGUCCCUGCCCUUUGUACACACCGCCCGUCGCUACUACCGAUUGAAUGAUUUAGUGAGGUCUUCGGACCGGUGCGCGGCGCGUUUCGACGUCGCCGAUGUUGCUGGGAAGAUGACCAAACUUGAUCAUUUAGAGGAAGUAAAAGUCGUAACAAGGUUUCCGU